CAUUUAAAUUUAUUUUAACUUGGGAUCAUAUAAAGGGCUGAGCUGAGCUCUUCUGAGUUGUGCUAAUCAACACCUCUCAGUGAGAACUUGCUGGAGCUGCUGCAGGUGCUGUUCUCAGUUCUCUCCCUUCCCCACCUCGCAGUAGCAGUUGUGUUGCUGUCACUGAGUUAAUUAAACAACAACAACAACAACAAAAAAAAAAAAGGUAGAGGGGGACAAAACACUAAGGGUUUCUGAUUGUAAGGGAUGCAGAAUUAGCUCUCAAAGAGCACCUGCUGAACCCCAGCUCCAUCAGAUGAGAAACGGUCCUUUUAGAUGUCAGGAAAUGGAGCUGUACCCGUCCUGCCCGCAGCACGGUCCCCCCGCUGGCGAUGCCGGCUGCUGGCACCAGGUGUCAGCAGUCAGCGCGGCUGAGGAUGCGCUCCCUGCGGAUCUGGGUGUAGGAAGGUACUUCCCGGCUUUGCACUUACAUGGUAGCCCGCAAAUAAGCAGGAAGAGUCUGAAAAAUGCGGGGUGUUCUGGGUUAAGUGUGGGAUAGUUCCAGCUCAGCUUUAGUGCUUGUUGGGGCCGUGGUAUGGUUUGGGAAAUGACCUCUACAGGCCAUCUGCUGCCUCUUCAAAGCUUGAUGUAGCUGAGAACGUGGUUCUGUGUUAUCUGAAGCAAUGAAACGAGGUGUUGGCUCUGAUGAGAGUGAGGAUUCACGCCAUGAAUCCACUUGCAGCUCCAACACCCACAAACUCCUGCGCUACCUCCCACAUCACCUUCUGUAUCCCUCUAACACCUCUCUUGCCACUGAAGGAAGGGAAGAUGCUGGGGAUGAGCCUGCAGAGGCUGCAAACUGGGAGCGUGGGGGCAGGAUGACAAAGAGCCGAUGCUGGCUCCAUUCCCCAGCUCUUAUUCUGCUUUGCGGAGCAGAAAAGCUAUGGAGCAUACAGGAUCUCCGGUUCAGCUGGUUGCUAAUGCUGAAAAGUCUGUCAAGUGCUGCCGUGCUCCAGCAAAGCCGGGGUUCUGCUGUUUGGAUGGGCUGAGGCUUUGUGUUUUAUUUCAGUUCUAUUCUUUUUUUAAAGGUGAAGCUGCUGCAGGAAAGCCUUCGAGGCUUAAGGGUCUCUGGGUGGCUUAGGAAACAUGGAGACCUUUGUGUCACAACAGGGAUGGGAUUUGUCUGUAAAGCAUGUGAGUGUUGAAAGGUCUGGUUUAUAAAGACAGAAAACAAAGAAACAAUGUGGGGAAAGGAAAAAAUCAGCCUGGGCUAAGACUGCCACAGGCUCUGUUGUGGUUACAGCCAAACACAGCACAUUUUCUGGUAGACAAAGUCAUUCUCUAAUUACUGCUUGAUGACAUCCGCAGUUCAAGGCUCAGCUCAGCAUCCAGUGCACGGAUUCCAUCAGGGGCAGGAGCUGCCUCAGAGCAAAGCAAUGCUGCGGUGUUUCUGAUCAUCGCUGCAGUUCUGAUGCUUGACUCUUUUUCUCACAUCAAAGGCAUAGGAACAAGUCUGAUGGAUGGGCAGUGAGCUGUAAGGAGUAACGUGCCGCAAAUUGAAGCUCUUUGAAAUUAAGGCUGUCUUUGUGUGUUUAUGAUGCCUGAAUGCACAGUCAUCGGUUAAGCAGCGAUGAGCAUUACCUGUUUUCCUCUAGAUCUGUCACUGCGUAUUGCUUAAGCAGGGAGUUUCUAGGGACUGCAUUUGUAAGACAAUUGGCUCAUGCUUUCCUUAAUAAAUUAACUGGAUGAUCUCAUGGUGGUUUUACUGCCUUUAUAAUCAGAACACGUCAACCUUAUGUUUUCCAAGGAGAAGCUGUAAGGCAAAGCCUUAUCUGUGCAUGGUUAGAAGACCACUUCUUGCUGGAGAAACAAACAGUGGCAAACCCAGCGUACAGCUUCCAGGACGAGCUCAACAGGGAGGAGAAGUGGCUUAGGCAGAGGUGUGUCCUCCACUGCAGCAGGAGAAACACAGAGCAGCCGUGUCCUUCACCCCAGCUAAAGACCAGUGCAGCAUGGGUGACUCAGGGGCUGAAUCAGAGGAGGGGGUGUUCUGGUUCCGGUCCUCUGACUGCCAGGUGCACCCUGGUGAUGCCAGGCAGCCACAAGCUUCAGCUCCCAUCCGUAUCAGCAGCUCCUGGCACUGCUCAGUGCCCUGUAGAUGACUGGUCCACCCACCUUAGCACUGGGGAAGCAGCACCUAUAUUGCAUCUUAAGGCGAUUUCCUGCCUCCUUUGCCUUCUGCUCUCCCUUGCAGUGAUUCCAUCCCUUUCUGAUCACGGGGCUGUUCAUGCACAUGUUCAAUUCUAACAGGUCUUCUGAAUGUUUGAUCUAGCAGAGCUCCCCAAGCCUUGGAGGAAAUCAAAACUGCGCACAGAUCUGUCUAAUUAGAGGCAGAUUAGAAAUGCACCAUGUGUGAUCCAGGGUGACACAACCCUGCUCUCUUGCUCCUUCUCUCUUUGCUUAGCUCCACAUCUCUUGGAUUUUCUGCUAGUUGUCUUUAAUAAUUUAAGAGCACUUCUUGGAACUCUCUCUGCUGAGUAUCUUGCUAUUCUGUGAUCACCUUUGCUCUCCAGUUUCUCAUUCUCCUAUAGAACCAGCCUGGCAUGGUUUCAGUUUCCAGAGAGGCAGAAGUAAAAAUAAUGUGGAGAAAGUGAUUUAAUUUCUCUAAGCCUCAAUUCACUCAAAGAGGGAUGUCAGUCUUCCACCAUGUCAUUCUGGUUGGGACAGUUCUGAUAUAGGCAUGAAUUUGCCUGCAAGAAAACACAAUUUUUUUCUCUAAGUCUUCUUACAAAGCCAUUAUUUGUACUGUGUCCAGCAGUGUGGAGUGAGUGGGAAACCUCAGGGAAAACCACAGCUCCUUUACUGCUUCAAUGAAAACUGAAAAGCAAGAUGUGUGAGAUUUCCAAUUUGAUCUUUUAUAAACAACCAUUGCUGCCUGUGGAAGAAUGAAUGUAACAGAGGGAUUCAAUCUUUGUAAACAAGAGGCAAAUGCAUCCAAACAGAUCCUGGGGCAUAUGACAGGGCUUUACAUUUGACCUGGCUUUGGAGAAACAGUGAAAAGCUGAAGCAACUUAACUGCUGCUAAGAGUUUUAUUGGCUCCAGGAGCUCUGUGAAAGAGAAGCACAGGGGGGUUGAGGCCUUUGCUCUUCAUGUUUGUUUUUUAUUAGAGCCAUUGGUUUCGAGCAUGCACUUUCCUGCCCAGUGGAUAUUGCAGAACUAGGAAGAGUAUCCACUGUGUUUCUGGAGCUCUGCAGCUUAGAGUCCCUCCCAGGCAGCUCUGGGAGAUGCAUCCAUCAAUGCCAAGGUAUCAAAGCAUAAUUCAGCAGUGAGGAAACAAAAUGGACCUUGUUUUAAGCCCUAUGAACCAUGGCAUUUCCAGAUUGCUCUGUCAACUUUGCUCGCUCUUACCUCAGUGUUAGCAAGGCCCUCUGUACAGAGUACGAUAUGUUUAUUUUGCAGAGCUAGAGGAAAGUCUGUUUUGCUUCACUUCUAGGUACGUUUGGAUUUGUUAAUAGUUUCACAGGUCUGUCAGUGCUCCCAUCAGCCCUGCACAGGCUGGAGUUGCUCACUGAUAAGGAAGGAGACAGCCCAGGUGUCCUGUGGUGCUGUCAGCUCCUGGAACCAUCAGUAUGAGAACUUGCGGAAGAAACCAAUGAGUAAGAGGACAACAAGAAACCCCAGGGCCUGGUUGGAGAUGCUGUGGGAAACGGACCUGAAAACAUUGAGCUAUCUGUGUGCCCUGAAACAUCCACCAGCACCAAGGGACUUCUGGUGAGCUGGAGAUGUGGGGACCUGCAGGCCAUAAACCUGGGCUGGAAGGGAGUAGGACCUAAUCUACAAUGAAGCUUGGAGCUCAUUGAAGGAUUCAGGAGAUGUGGGGGCAAGGUGAGCCUGCGGGAUCAUCCAGUUGCAUUAAUCAAAGGCAGUUGGCGAGGGUCCUCAGAGAAGGAUCCUAAAGAGAGGAAGGAGACCUGGAAUAUGAGAGGAGGCACUUACUGGGAGAAAUCCUUUGCUAAAAGGUAGAAGGAAACUGCUUCUGGAGCAGAAAACACCAAGGAGCUGUGCACAGAUUGUGUGCAGCAUUCAAUAAUGAUUGCAAAAGGAGGCAAAUGCUGAAGUUUGUUGUUGAUAGAAAGUUUUUCAGGGCUGGUGUGGCUGAAGGCCAACUGUGCAGAGAUGAGGCCAUAAAAGAGAUGAAAUUCAAAUGUACAUACAUACAAAAUUUUGCACAGGGGGAAAAAACAAUUGUAACUCUAUUUAUAAAACAGUGGGUUCUGAGUUAAGCGUUACCAUCUGGAACGCCGGGCUUGUAACAGACUGUGCUACGAAAAUGUCAUUUCAGUGGUCAAUAGUCAUCAAGAAAAUAAAUUGCAAGCGAGAAUUAACAGGGAAAAAUAGAGAGUAGAACAUAGCGUGGCAGUUUCCUCCAACUGGAGGCAUCAAGAGAAAACCAGUGGUUCAAGCUGAAAGAUCCCAAGAUCCUUUAGGCUGCUUUGGGUGAGAAGGAUUGGAUCCUGCAGGUGGGAAGGAAUGGAUCCAGCUGCAGGGAGGUGGCUGCAGGCUUCUGUGGCCCAGCCCCAGGGCUUAACCCCACUGGGAAAGGGGACUGUGGGCUCUGUGCAGACACACGCUGCCUCCAGGGCAAAGCCAACUAUCACAAGUGCAGCCUAUGCUGAGUCAUCUCUAUCCUUCCCCUGCUCCAUUGCAAGGAACUCAGUGGCUGACAGGCGUCUCUUCUGUACCACCCGCAGAAGCCAAUGUGGUGACCUUCGCUGGCAGAAAUCAAUUUCUAAAAUAGAAUUUGUAAUGCCUUCUGUAAAACAUAUUAGCUGGGAAGAUUCCUUUGGUGGAAAAAGCAAUUGGUAAGGUGAACUUCUGGAGGAGCACCGUAGUGACAAUUAGUGCCCCAGGUGCUGGAACUUGGGUCACUGAACCUCUCCCAAGCAAGAAAGUUCAAGUGUGGGUGCCAGCUUUUAUUCCUGAAUUAGGAACAUCAUGUUUUUGUAGUGAAGGUAUGGGUUAAAAAAUCCAGUGGAAAUUAGGUGUCCAUUUGUAAGCAUGGUCACUUUUGCUGCAGCAAGUCCCUGAGCAGCUACUGUAUUGUUUUUCCCCAGCCUGAAACUGGGGUUGUGAGCCCAUGUUAAUCAAGUCCCCCAGCCCCCUGUCCGGUGUGUUAUUGAGCCUCUGUGUCCAGCAAUUAAAGCAGUGUACCCUCAGCUUCUGAGCAUUUGGCACAAGGCUGAGACUGAAAAGCUCCCCACUUUCCUGUUCCCAGCCUGGCUGGCAGUCCCUCAUCACAGCCUGGAAGAGAGAAAAAGCUGCAGCUGCCAGCUGAAAAAGAGGAGAGGUCUGUGUUGGGUUGGUUGUGUUUCCACUUAUAAUCAGAUCAGAACAAAAGUCUUUGCCCUGCUUUAAAUGCUGUGCUGGUUCUUGUUGCUUGGAAGGUGACAGUCCUGGUCCCUGGGGCUGCCUUCUCCUCCACACCAAUCUCCCAGGAGCAUUGUAGGGCCAGGCAGGAGCAGGACUUAACCUUGUCACACUUCAGUAGGUGCUGUAAUUGCCAAGGACUCAUUUCUUCUGCCCUCUCUGUAAUUAGUAUCACUUCAUGCUUCCUAAUCUUACAGGAAACCCUGCACCUUGCUUAUCCUCACCACUGCUCGCAUGCAGUGGCACAACAUCAAGAGCAAGACCCAGUCCUUCAGCUACUGAAAAUCAGAUCAGGGUGGGAUCUCAGGCAUCGUCUCAUCUGACAUGGGUGAAACCUUCCCACAGGACCUUGUGAGCACAUGAGACCUCAUCCUGGCACAGAAGCAGACAAGCUGACUGGAAACAUGACUAAUGUGUGCCUGGUUUGGCCAUGGUGAUGAAGGAAUGGCGGUCAUCAAGAUCCAACCAGGAGCCAGACAUUGGUGUUUGGGCAGCUGUCAGUGGCAUCCCAUGGGAAACAGCUCCAAGGGCGAAGGAGCUCAGGAGGAUCGGCAGGUUUAAGGGCAGCACCUUCCAAGGCCAUCCCAGCACUGAGGUAGGUGGAAGGUACAGGGAGGAUGGGAGGGGGUUCCUGAUGUGUGAGCCUAGCAGUCCAUGGCUGCAUGCCGAGCCAUUUUGUGGCCUUUUGGGGUGGUUUUGUUGCCAUCUGGAAGUCAUUCCAUGAUUAUUUUGGUGCCAUUUCAGGUUGUUUUGAGGUUAUUUUGGGAUCAUUUAGUGCCAUUUUGGGAUUGUUUCAGAGUCAUUUUGAUGCUAUUUGGGCCGGUCGGAGAUAGAUUGUGGGUGGUUUGGACAUCAUUGGGGCUGCUUUGGUGUCAUUAUGGGCUGCACUGUGGUCACUUCGGUGUUCUUUUGGGAUGAUAGUAUAGAGAAAGCCGCAGUGUGGGGGCUGACAGUGAGACGGACUUGGUACAUGGAGGGCGUGAAGGCGAAAGGGGAGGUUGGUGAGGGGGGGGAUGGACUUGAGGAUGGAGCGUGGCUUGAAGAAGCCCGGCCCCUUUUCCCCCUCCUUGCGCUCUAUAUAAAUGGAAGUGGCUGCGGCGGUUGCUCCAUGCGGGAGCGUGUCCCGCUGUGCGGCGAUGUGUGCGCUGCGCUGCGUUCUGCUGUUACUGUGCGGCGUCGCGCUGGGACCCGCCGUGCACCUCGACUUCGCCGAGCACCGCAGCCAGGCGGCCAAGAUCAAGGUCAACCCCCGCGGCAACCUCUGGGCCACAGGUCACUUCAUGGGGAAGAAGAGCGUGCCGGGCACCCCGCAGCUGGAUGCGCUGGGGCAGCCGGUGGUGCCGAUGGCUUUUGGUCCAUCGCUCAGAGCUUUGCUGGAGGACGUGGUGGAACUGCUGACUCGGGAGCUCCUGAAAAUCCUCUUGCAAGAAAGACUUUUGGAUGAGAACCAAGGAAAAUACGAUCUCACUGACCAGGAGACCGGACUUUUAACAAAAGUGCUGGAGAAGUAUUUUUCAAACUGAAGGAGCACAGCAGUGAAGGAUGAGAUCAGCGGGCUGAGUUGUGCAUGGUAAAUGGAGGAGAGCAUCAUCCUUGUGGGUUACUGUAGCAACAUCACUUUUAUUUAUUCUUUCUGUAAUACUGUUAAUAGUGAUUGCUUGUAUGAAAAGCAGAUCCUCCCUGUAUAUUUCCUGUAUGUUUUAUGCUUCCUUGGUGUCUGAUGUGCCUCUGUGAAUAAAAGGAGCUCUUUGCAGAUGCGA